UACGUAGGGUGCGAGCGUUAUUCGGAAUUAUUGGGCGUAAAGCGCAUGUAGGCGGCUUGGUAAGUCUGAUGUGAAAGCCCCGGACUCAAUUCGGGAAGUGCAUUGGAUACUGCCAGGCUAGAGUAUAGGAGGGGAGAGCGGAAUUCCUGGUGUAGAGGUGAAAUUCGUAGAUAUCAGGAGGAACAACAGUGGCGAAGGCGGCUCUCUGGACUAUUACUGACGCUCAGAUGCGAAAGCGUGGGGAGCAAACAGG
rnacentral:rRNA from 1 species